rnacentral:lncRNA from 1 species
AGAGAGAGAGCACCCGUAUCUUCGUCAAGGUCAUCGAUCAUCGGAACUAGGAAGUCCUUGCCGAUUCCGACGACGCUGACUCCGACGCGAGCCCUCGGACUCCGCGUUCGUCGAAGUCGACCGAGCCACUCUCUACGACACACAUCUUGGUUCGGCACUCUCCCUUUUCACGCCCCUCUGAACUUGGCCUUUAGAUGCGUUCGUCUAUGGCGUUUUUUGACGAUCGGCAGUGGUUCUUGAGAUGCUGGUUCUUUUUCUUUCUACUUCUUGACUUAGCGAUAGGUUUCGGUUCCUUUUCUUUAUUCUUCUUGAUUCUGCAAGAGGUUGUUCUGCUUGAUAUGUUGAUAUGUUGGUUCUUUUUCAUAGUGCUUCUUGGUAAUAGAUGCUGGUUCUUUUUCGAUUCGCAUGUUAUGACAGUCUUUAGUUUGUAUUCCGAUUGAUUUUUUUUUUUUUAUUUAGUGCCUAUAUCGAUGUUGGUUGAUUAGUUGCAAGCCUUUAUGACACUCAUCUUUAGCUGCAUUCCUCUGUGGCGUUCUUUCUCUGUUCGGUCGGAAGUGGUUCUUGAUAUCUUAGUUCUUUUCUUUGUAUUUAAUGGCUUUGUGAUAGGUUGUGGUUUCUGUUUUUAUGCUUCUUGAUCUUCCGUCGGUAUGGUUCUUCGAUUCGAGUUUUGGCCGAUCCGUGGAUUUGUUCGGUUCCUCCUUAGUUUCUCCCGAUCUUUGUGGAUACUUGUAGCAUACUUGCUGUCUUGUCUAAAUUCAUGACCAACGAUAGGUGGAAUAUAGAUAAGUUGUACUCCUCUUUCUCUUGCUUCUGCUCGAUUCUGCAACAGGUUGUUCUGCUUUAUAUGUUGGUUCUUUUUCUUUACGCUUCUUGAUCUCCAGAUUUUUAGUUUAUAUUCCGAUUGAUUCUUUUUCGAAUGCCUAUACCAAUGUUGGUUGAUUGUCUGCUAGUGUGAUAAUCCAGGAUGUAGUUUAUACGAGUUCGUAAUCUGAGUUACUUCCUACGACGCGUCAGAUAAGAAACUUUUGGUUGAUUAGCUGCUAGUGUGAUAAUUCGGGAUGUGAUUUGAAUCGGAUCGAGAAAUAUGGAAAAUAUAGUUAGGCUUUAACCCAAAUCAAUCCGAUUGGAUGGUUUGGUCUGUGCGUACUUGGCAUCAUUGCACCCGAAUCACUUUAGUGCUUGGUGUUUAAAUUGAUGGGUAUUGAUAAGGGUAAAAAUGACGAUGUGACACGCCAUAACGUCAGCCGACAACACACUGCCCGAGGAAGUCGGCAUUAACACCUAACUCAGGCUUGGUUCUUCACGCCAUGCCAACCCCAUGUCAUACGCUAUCAGCCUGCCUCCUGCAAGCAGCCACAUCAGGUAACAUCAAACUCAUCUAUAAAUACCCCAGAGUUCUUAACGAACGGGGAGAGGAACACAAGCACAACGCACUUGGAGGCAUCUCGUCCUCCAAAACCCUCUCCACAUCGCAAACUUGAUCGUCGGAGGGGUCGGGCCGAGCUCCCGGCCCGACCUGUGUGCAGGUGCGAGACGGUGUUGCCUCUUCUCGACGCUGUGGCGGAGCUUCCUCCCGACCCGACCUCCCGACCCGAACCACCGUGCUCAGCCGCCGAGAGACCCCGAGCGACGUCGCUCGAGAUCCCCGACAUCCGGACCCCCGAAUCGAGUCGCGACGAUCCCGAGGCCACGGCUUAAAUAGAUGCCCCCCGCAUCAGGUAUAUAAAGCGGAAUAAUCUUUGUAUAUGAACAAAU